AUUGAACGCUGGCGGCAGGCCUAACACAUGCAAGUCGAGCGAGCGGCGGCGGGGUGAGUAAUGUCUGGGAAACUGCCUGAUGGAGGGGGAUAACUACUGGAAACGGUAGCUAAUACCGCAUACCAUCAGAUGUGCCCAGAUGGGAUUAGCUAGUAGGUGGGGUAACGGCUCACCUAGGCGACGAUCCCUAGCUGGUCUGAGAGGAGGACCAGCCACACUGUAACUGAGACACGGUCCAGACUCCUACGGGAGGCGGCAGUGGGGAAAAUUGCACAAGGGGAGGAAGCCUGGUGCAGCCAUGCCGAGUGGGUGAAGAAGGCCUUCGGGUUGUAAAGCACUUUCAGCGUGGAGGCGUUACCCGCAGAAGAAGCACCGGCUAACUCCGUGCCAGCAGCCGCGGUAAUAC
rnacentral:rRNA from 1 species